rnacentral:rRNA from 1 species
UACGGGGGGUGCAAAUGUUGUUCGGAAUCACUGGGCGUAAAGGGUGCGUAGGCGGGUUCUUAAGUAAGGUGUUUAAUCCCGGGGCCCAACCCCGGACCGGCACUUUAAACUGGGAAUCUUGAAUAGUGGAGAGGUCAGUGGAAUUGGGGGUGUAGCGGUGGAAUGCGUAGAGAUCCCCAAGAACACCAGUUGCGAAGGCGGCUGACUGGACACAUAUUGACGCUGAGGCUCGAAAGCAUGGGGAGCAAACAGG